rnacentral:rRNA from 1 species
UGGGGAAUCUUGGUCAAUGGGCGAAAGCCUGAACCAGCGACGCCGCGUGAGUGAUGAAGGCCUUCGGGUUGUAAAGCUCUGUGGGGCGAGACGAAAGCCUACGUUCUAACAGGACGUAGUUUGACGGUAUCGCCUUAGCAAGCACCGGCUAACUCUGUGCCAGCAGCCGCGGUAAGACAGAGGGUGCAAACGUUGCUCGGAAUCACUGGGCGUAAAGGGCGUGUAGGCGGGAAGGAAAGUCAGAUGUGAAAUCCCUGGGCUCAACCCAGGAACUGCAUUUGAAACUCCCUUUCUUGAGUGUCGGAGAGGAAAGUGGAAUUCCUGGUGUAGAGGUGAAAUUCGUAGAUAUCAGGAGGAACACCGGUGGCGAAGGCGGCUUUCUGGACGACAACUGACGCUGAGACGCGAAAGCGUGGGGAGCAAACAGG